CCUACGGGUGGCAGCAGUGAGGAAUAUUGGUCAAUGGCCGUAAGGCUGAACCAGCCAAGUAGCGUGAGGGAAGACUGCCCUAUGGGUUGUAAACCUCUUUUAUGCGGGGAUAAAGGUGUCCACGUGUGGAUGUUUGCAGGUACCGCAUGAAUAAGGACCGGCUAAUUCCGUGCCAGCAGCCGCGGUAAUACGGAAGGUCCGGGCGUUAUCCGGAUUUAUUUGGUUUAAAGGGAGCGUAGGCCGGUCUUUAAGCGUGCCGUGAAAUUUUGUGGCGCAACCAUGAGAGUGAGGCGCGAACUGGAGAGCUUGAGUGAGCAGAAGGCAGGCGGAAGUCGUGGUGUAGCGGUGAAAUGCUUAGAUAUAACGAAGAACCCCGAUGGCGAAGGCAGACUGCCGAAGCGUUACUGACGCUGAAGCUCGAAAGCGCGGGUAUCGAACAGGAUUAGAUACACUUGGAGGC
rnacentral:rRNA from 1 species